rnacentral:rRNA from 1 species
UACGUAGGGUGCGAGCGUUGUCCGGAAUUACUGGGCGUAAAGAGCUCGUAGGUGGUUUGUCGCGUUGUUCGUGAAAACUCACAGCUCAACUGUGGGCGUGCGGGCGAUACGGGCAGACUGGAGUACUGCAGGGGAGACUGGAAUUCCUGGUGUAGCGGCGGAAUGCGUAGAUAUCGGGAAGAACACCCGUGGCGAAGGCGGUUCUCUGGGACGGUACUGACGCUGAGACGCGAAAGCGUGGGGAGCGAACAGG